UUGAAUCUGUAGAUCGCUUUUGGUAAA
rnacentral:piRNA from 1 species